rnacentral:rRNA from 1 species
UACGGGGGAUGCAAGCGUUAUCCGGAAUUAUUGGGCGUAAAGGGUCCUGAGGUGGCUAGCCAAGUCUAUUGUGAAAUAUCAGGGCUUAACCCUGAACAUGCGGUGGAAACUAGAAAGCUUGAGUACAGUAGGGGCGGAGGGAAUUUCCGGUGGAGCGGUGAAAUGCAUAGAUAUCGGGAGGAACACCUGGUGGCGAAAGCGGCUCACUGGACCAUAACUGACGCUGAUGCACGAAAGCUGGGGGAGCAAACAGG